CUAUCAGCCAAUCAGCAUUCAGGGCUCGAAUCACCCAGUUUAUAAUGUCUGAUAUACCACGGCUAUCAGCCAAUAAGCAUUCAGGGCUCGAAUCACCCAGUUUAUAAAUAUAUAUAAAAUGAGGGUAAUUCAUAUUGAAGGGAAGAGGUUGUUUGUCUGUUAUGGGAGUCAGUGGUAAUAACUAGAGAGGGUUGAUAUGAUUCUGUUUUGGGGGUCAGUGGUAAUAACUAGAGAGGGUUGAUAUGAUUCUGUUAUGGGGGUCAGUGGUAAUAACUAGAGAGGGUUGAUAUGAUUCUGUUAUGGGGGUCAGUGGUAAUAACUAGAGAGGGUUGAUAUGAUUAUGUUAUGGGGGUCAGUGGUAAUAACUAGAGAGGGUUGAUAUGAUUCUGUUAUGGGGGUCAGUGGUAAUAACUAGAGAGGGUUGAUAUGAUUCUGUUAUGGGGGUCAGUGGUAAUAACUGUAGAGAGGGUUGAUAUGAUUAUGUUAUGGGGGUCAGUGGUAAUAACUAGAGAGGGUUGAUAUGAUUCUGUUAUGGGGGUCAGUGGUAAUAACUGUAGAGAGGGUUGAUAUGAUUAUGUUAUGGGGGUCAGUGGUAAUAACUAGAGAGGGUUGAUAUGAUUCUGUUAUGGGGGUCAGUGGUAAUAACUAGAGAGGGUUGAUAUGAUUCUGUUAUGGGGGUCAGUGGUAAUAACUAGAGAGGGUUGAUAUGAUUCUGUUAUGGGGGUCAGUGGUAAUAACGAGAGAGGGUUGAUAUGAUUCUGUUAUGGGGGUCAGUGGUAAUAACUAGAGAGGGUUGAUAUGAUUCUGUUAUGGGGGUCAGUGGUAAUAACUAGAGAGGGUUGAUAUGAUUCUGUUAUGGGUGUCAGUGGUAAUAACUAGAGAGGGUUGAUAUGAUUCUGUUAUGGGGGUCAGUGGUAAUAACUGUAAUAAACCUGUUCCUGGAGAGCUACCCUCCUGUAGGUUUUAUCUCCAACCCUGUUCCUGGAGAGCUACCCUCCUGUAAGUUUUAUCUCCAACCCUGUUCAUGGAGAGCUACCCUCCUGUAGGUUUUAAUCUCCAACCCUGUUCCUGGAGAGCUACCCUCCUGUAGGUUUUAAUCUCCAACCCUGUUCCUGGAGAGCUACCCUCCUGUAGGUUUUAACUGCAAACCCAGUUGCAACUAACCCGAUUCAUCUUAUCAGCCAGCUAAUUUGUAGAAUCAGGUGCGCUAGAUUAGGGAUGGAUUGAAAACCUAUAGGAGGGUAUCUCUCCAGGAAGGAGGGUAGCUCUCCAGGAACAGGGUUGGAGAUAAAAAACCUACAGGAGGGUAGGGGCCCAGGUUCUUGUUAGUUUUAUUCUGACACCCUGUCCUAUUCCCUAUAUAGUGCAGUGUGCACUAUAUUUGACCAGAACCUCUGUAGGGAAUAGGGUGUCACAACAUUCUGUUUCCAUGGUGACGUGGAGCUCAGCUUGUCUCGUUUGAAGGCAACACACAUAUUGCCUUUCUUCUCUUUUUACAAGGUUACUUUAAAAAUAAAUAGUUAAGCACUUGAGUUUCAUAUGGUAAUCGUAAAUAAAAACUAUUUCUACUUCCUGCAUUCAGAAAGAGUUUAUUAAAUAUGGCGAUAUCCAGCUGUUGUCAUUUUCAAUUUAAGGAAAUCACCUGUUUGAGUGUUCGUCCCAAAUGGCACCCGAUUCCCUAUGUAGUGCACUACUUUUGACCAGGACCUAGAGGGUAAGCCAUAGGGCCUUGGUCAAAAAUAUAGUGCACUUACAUAGGGAAGAGGGUGCCGUUUGGGAUGAAUGCUGGGACAGGUGGGACUCCAUUGUUUAACAUAAAAGGGCUAUCGCCUCAUUGGUCCCUCUCAUGUAACCAAUGGCCUGAAGGAUGUUUUAUGUUUGUUUGUGACAAAAUGUUGUUUUAAAUUGUCAAUUUGUUUAAUUGUUCAUGAAUCGGUUCAUUCUUUCCCACCUGUCCUGAGGUUGGUUGUUUAUAAUUGCGUAGAUUGAAUUAUUAAAUAUCUUGUCUUUUUUUAUUUUUUAUUCUCAUUUAUUUUUUCAUUUAGAGGAAUUCCACCACCUUUCCGUAAGUUGUGGUCUAUAUAGGGGCGGCAGGUAGUCUAGUGGUUAGUGUUGGGCCAGUAACCGAACGGUUGCUAGAUUAGAUCCCCCGAGCUGACAAGGUAAAACAUCGUCCGUUCUGCCCCUAAACAAGGCAGUUUAACCCACUGUUCCUCGGUAGGCCGUCAUUGUAAAUAAGAAUGUGUUCUUAACUGACUUGCCUGGUUAAAUAUAAGGGAUGCCAUUGGGAACAAACUAAGUUGUAUACUGGAGAUGAUGAAUGAGGUUUAACAGUGGUGGAAUGUCCCCUUUUAAUUAAACUGGUAGUACUACUUCUGGUGCACUGUGAUUCCCUCUGACGCGUUACCAUGGUGAGAGUGCACAACCAUUUUUGCUACACCUGCAAUAACAUCUGCUAAACGUGUGUAUGUGACAAACCAAAUGUGAUUUGACUGUGAUUCCCUCUGAUGCGUUACCUGGGUUGUUCUGGUUUCUC